rnacentral:rRNA from 1 species
AUGGCGCCCGUCUCCUUCCUCGAGCUCUCGCUCUCCUUGCUCUGCUUCCUCGUCUUCUACUACUUCCACGCCAGGUCCAAGCGCAAGAACCCGGUGAUCCCGCUGGAGUGGCCGCUGGUGGGCAUGCUCCCGGCGCUCCUCGCCAACCUCCCGCGCCUCCACGACUGGGUCACCUCGUUGGUCACCGCCAGCCCGCUCAACUUCCGCUUCGUCGGCCCGCCGCGCUCGGGCAUGGAGCUCUUCCUCACCUCCGAUCCGGCCAACGUACGCCACGUUUUCACCUCCAAUUUCGCCAACUACCCCAAGGGCCCCGAGUUCGCCGAGAUCAUGGACAUCCUCGGCGGCGGCAUCUUCAACGCCGACGGCGACUCCUGGCGCCGCCAGCGCGCGAAGGCGCAGCUUCUCAUGUCCAGUCCAAGGUUCCGGGCCUUUGUGACACGGUGCAGCCGCCGCAAGGUCGAGCGCGACCUGCUCCCGCUGCUCGCCCACGUCGCCGGCGGCGGCACCGGCGUGUGCGACCUGCAGGACGUGUUCCUCAGGCUGACGUUCGACACGACGACCACGCUGGUGUUCGGCGUCGACCCGGGCUGCCUGGCCAUCGGGUUCCCGGAGGUGCCGUUCGCGCGCGCCAUGGACGAUGCCAUGGACGUGCUCCUCGUCCGCAACGUGCUCCCUCCGUCCUGGUGGAAGCUGGUGCGGUGGCUCGGGGUCGGGCACGAGCGGAAGAUGGCCGUCGCGUGGCGCGACAUCGACCGGUUCAUCGGCGACACGAUCGCCAAGCGGCGGGAGGUGGUGAAGGCAAGAGGCGGCAUCGAGGACUCGGCGGACCUGCUCUCCUCCUACAUCGACGACGACGAAGAUGCUAGCACGGUCGUCGACGCCUUCCUCCGCGACACGACCAUGAACCUCAUGCUCGCCGGCCGGGACACGACCGGCUCGGGCCUCUCCUGGUUCUUCUACCUCCUCACGAGGAACCCACGCGUGGUGUCCAAGAUCCUCGCAGAGCUCGACACGGUCAACUCCACCACCACCCCGGACGGCAUGGUGACCUACGACCCGGACGAGCUGGGGCGGCUGGUGUACCUGCACGCGGCGCUGUGCGAGUCGCUCCGGCUGUACCCGCCGGUGCCGAUGGAGCACAAGGGCGUGGUGGCCGCGGAGGCGCUGCCGAGCGGGCACGAGGUGCGGCCGGGGGACAAGAUCAUGGUGUCGCUGUACGCGAUGGGGAGGAUGGAGGCGGUGUGGGGCAAGGACUGCCGGGAGUUCCGGCCGGAGCGGUGGAUCGGGGAGGACGGCAAGCCGCGGUACGUGCCGUCGUACAAGUUCGUGUCCUUCAACUCCGGGCCGCGGACAUGCCUCGGCAAGGACAUGGCGUUCGUGCAGCUCAAGGCGGUGGCGGCCGCCGUGGUGAGGAACUUCGAGGUGGAGGCCGUGCCCGGACACGUCGUGGAGCCCAAGAUCUCCAUCAUCCUCCACAUGAAGAACGGCUUCAAGGCCAGGAUCAAGAGGAGGAAGAUGCUUUGA